GGGGCUUGCAGGUAAGUGGUAGGGCAUCUGCUUUGCAUGCAGAACGUCCCAGGUUCAAUCCCUGGCAUCUCCA
rnacentral:tRNA from 1 species